CACGUAGGGCGCAAGCGUUGUCCGGAAUUAUUGGGCGUAAAGAGCUCGUAGGCGGUCUGUUGCGUCCGCUGUGAAAACUCGGGGCUUAACCCCGAGCCUGCAGUGGAUACGGGCAGACUAGAGGUAGGUAGGGGAGAAUGGAAUUCCCGGUGUAGCGGUGAAAUGCGCAGAUAUCGGGAGGAACACCGGUGGCGAAGGCGGUUCUCUGGGCCUUACCUGACGCUGAGGAGCGAAGGUCAGGGGAGCAAACGGG
rnacentral:rRNA from 1 species